AGCAGCCGCGGUAAUUCCAGCUCCAAUAGCGUAUAUUAAAGUUGUUGCAGUUAAAAAGCUCGUAGUUGAAUUUCGGGAUCAAUUAAUUGGUCGUGCCUCUGGUACGUACUGAUUUUAUUGGUUUCUCCCUUCUGACGAACCAUGAUGUCAUUAAUUUGGUGUCGUGGAGAAUCAGGACUGUUACUUUGAAAAAAUUAGAGUGUUUAAAGCAAGCUAACGCUUGAAUACAUUAGCAUGGAAUAAUGAAAUAGGACGUUUGAUCCUAUUUUGUUGGUUUCUAGGAUCGACGUAAUGAUUAAUAGGGAUAGUUGGGGGCAUUAGUAUUCAAUUGUCAGAGGUGAAAUUCUUGGAUUUAUUGAAGACUAACUACUGCGAAAGCAUUUGCCAAGGAUGUUUUCAUUAAUCAAGAACGAAAGUUAGGGGAUCGAAGACGAUCAGAUACCGUCGUAGUCUUAACCAUAAACUAAUGCCGACUAGGGAUCGGAUGAUGUUAAUUUUUAAUGACUCAUUCGGCGCCUUA
rnacentral:rRNA from 1 species